CCUACGGGGGGCAGCAGUGGGGAAUAUUGCGCAAUGGGCGAAAGCCUGACGCAGCAACGCCGCGUGCGGGAUGACGGCCUUCGGGUUGUAAACCGCUUUCACCCAUGACGAAGGGUUUCUGACGGUAGUGGGAGAAGAAGCACCGGCUAACUACGUGCCAGCAGCCGCGGUGAUACGUAGGGUGCGAGCGUUGUCCGGAAUUAUUGGGCGUAAAGAGCUUGUAGGCGGUUUGUUGCGUCGGGAGUGAAAACUCAGGGCUUAACCCUGAGCCGGCUCUCGAUACGGGCAGACUUGAGGAAGGUAGGGGAGAACGGAAUUCCUGGUGGAGCGGUGGAAUGCGCAGAUAUCAGGAGGAACACCAGUGGCGAAGGCGGUUCUCUGGACCUUAUCUGACGCUGAGAAGCGAAAGCGUGGGGAGCAAACAGGCUUAGAUACCCCAGUAGUC
rnacentral:rRNA from 1 species